rnacentral:rRNA from 1 species
GAUGAACGCUAGCUACAGGCUUAACACAUGCAAGUCGAGGGGAAACGGCAUCGAAAGCUUGCUUUUGAUGGGCGUCGACCGGCGCACGGGUGAGUAACGCGUAUCCAACCUGCCCAUCACUUGGGAAUAACCUUGCGAAAGUAAGACUAAUGCCCAAUGACAUCCCACGAAGGCAUCCGAAUGGGAUUAAAGAUUUAUCGGUGAUGGAUGGGGAUGCGUCUGAUUAGCUUGUUGGCGGGGUGACGGCCCACCAAGGCAACGAUCAGUAGGGGUUCUGAGAGAAAGGUCCCCCACAAUGGAACUGAGACACGGUCCAAACUGCUACGGGAGGCAGCAGUGAGGAAUAUUGGUCAAUGGGCGAGAGCCUGAACCAGCCAAGUAGCGUGCAGGAGGACGGCCCUAUGGGUUGUAAACUGCUUUUAUAAGGGAAUAAAGUGGGUCACGUGUGACUUUUUGCAUGUACCUUAUGAAUAAGGACCGGCUAAUUCCGUG